UUCGGGGUUGUUUCGAGCUCGGCUCGACUCUCCCACCCAAUGUGUACCUACCUCUGUUGCUUUGGCGGGCCGCGGUCCUCCGCACCGGCGCCCUUCGGGGGGCUGGCCAGCGCCCGCCAGAGGACCAUAAAACUCCAGUCAGUGAACUUCGCAGUCUGAAAAACAAGUUAAUAAACUAAAACUUUCAACAACGGAUCUCUUGGUUCUGGCAUCGAUGAAGAACGCAGCGAAAUGCGAUAAGUAAUGUGAAUUGCAGAAUUCAGUGAAUCAUCGAAUCUUUGAACGCACAUUGCGCCCCUUGGUAUUCCGAGGGGCAUGCCUGUUCGAGCGUCAUUUCAACCCUCAAGCUCUGCUUGGUAUUGGGCCCCGUCCUCCACGGACGCGCCUUAAAGACCUCGGCGGUGGCGUCUUGCCUCAAGCGUAGUAGAAAACACCUCGCUUUGGAGCGCACGGCGUCGCCCGCCGGACGAACCUUUGAAUUAUUUCUCAAGGUUGACCUCGGAUCAGGUAGGGAUACCCGCUGAACUUAAGCAUAUCAAUAAGCGGAGGAA
rnacentral:rRNA from 1 species